UGGGGAAUAUUGCACAAUGGGCGCAAGCCUGAUGCAGCCAUGCCGCGUGUAUGAAGAAGGCCUUCGGGUUGUAAAGUACUUUCAGCGAGGAGGAAGGCGAUGCGGUUAAUAACCGUGUCGAUUGACGUUACUCGCAGAAGAAGCACCGGCUAACUCCGUGCCAGCAGCCGCGGUAAUACGGAGGGUGCAAGCGUUAAUCGGAAUUACUGGGCGUAAAGCGCACGCAGGCGGUAUGUCAAGUCGGAUGUGAAAUCCCCGGGCUCAACCUGGGAACUGCAUUCGAAACUGGCAGGCUUGAGUCUUGUAGAGGGGGGUAGAAUUCCAGGUGUAGCGGUGAAAUGCGUAGAGAUCUGGAGGAAUACCGGUGGCGAAGGCGGCCCCCUGGACAAAGACUGACGCUCAGGUGCGAAAGCGUGGGGAGCAAACA
rnacentral:rRNA from 1 species